rnacentral:rRNA from 1 species
GAUGAACGCUGGCGGCGUGCCUAAUACAUGCAAGUCGAGCGAACGGACGAGAAGCUUGCUUUUCUGAUGUUAGCGGCGGACGGGUGAGUAACACGUGGAUAACCUACCUAUAAGACUGGGAUAACUUCGGGAAACCGGAGCUAAUACCGGAUAAUAUUUUGAACCGCAUGGUUCAAAGGUGAAAGACGGUCUUGCUGUCACUUAUAGAUGGAUCCGCGCUGCAUUAGCUAGUUGGUAAGGUAACGGCUUACCAAGGCAACGAUGCAUAGCCGACCUGAGAGGGUGAUCGGCCACACUGGAACUGGGACACGGUCCAGACUCCUACGGGAGGCAGCAGUAGGGAAUCUUCCGCAAUGGGCGAAAGCCUGACGGAGCAACGCCGCGUGAGUGAUGAAGGUCUUCGGAUCGUAAAACUCUGUUAUUAGGGAAGAACAUAUGUGUAAGUAACUGUGCACAUCUUGACGGUACCUAAUCAGAAAGCCACGGCUAACUACGUG